GACGAACGCUGGCGGCGUGCUUAACACAUGCAAGUCGAGCGGUAAGGCCCGUUUCGGGGGUACACGAGCGGCGAACGGGUGAGUAACACGUGGGUGACCUGCCCUCAGCUCUGGGAUAAGCCUGGGAAACCGGGUCUAAUACUGGAUAUGACUCCAUGACGCAUGUUGUGGGGUGGAAAGCCUUGUGCGGCUGAGGAUGGGCCCCGCGGCCCAUCAGCUUGUUGGGUGGGGUGAUGGCCUACCAAGGCGACGACGGGUAGCCGGCCUGAGAGGGCGACCGGCCACACUGGGACUGAGACACGGCCCAGACUCCGUACGGGAGGCAGCAGUGGGGAAUCUUGCGCAAGUGGGACGAAAGCCUGACGCAGCGACGCCGCGU
rnacentral:rRNA from 1 species